UUUCGAGACGGAGGUUGUGAGGG
rnacentral:snRNA from 1 species